rnacentral:lncRNA from 1 species
UCGUGUCACUUUUACUAAUAUAUAAGAGAACAGAUUAUUGGAUACACCAGUUCUUUCGCAUAUCUCUUUCUCAGGCAGAGGAAACAUGUGCCCCAGGUGGGGACCUACCUUGUUGCAAGCCCCUACAUAUGUAGUGUUACGCGAAACUCCAAGUUUGCACUCAUACAGUAAAACAUAGACGUUGAAGUCAACAAGCUAGACAACAGACAGUAAGAUAAAAAGAUCUGUAUUCCUAAUCCACAAUGUUUCACAUUUUCCUUCAAAAAACGUAUAAGAGAACUGAAAGAGAUCACGACGGAGAGAAAAACCUCAACUUCAUGACCUCGUACUCCAGCUUCCUCCAAUGUCUCACGUCAAUUGUUUCAUCUUUUUACCCAAGUACUCCCUACCAUAACAAGAGAGAUAUUUUUAUUUAAAAGUUAAAACAGAGAUUUCUCCAAAUGUAACAAUCAGAGAGUAUAAAAAAUGAAGUAGUAGUAAGUUUUGUAGUCAUGGAUCAGCGGUUACGUACCUUUGGAAAAAUCAUAAAACAAAGUCAAAAUCUGAAACUAGGUACUCGAAAAACAGAAUACUCCACCAGCUGUAAAAGCACCCCGACCACGCAUUACUAGAGGUUGAUUUCCAUAGAUUUCAGUAGUUACAUGUAAUUAAAUACUGAGAGUUGUGCACUCCUUACUGUAUCAUUGCAGCUCGAUGAGUCCCUUCUCUGUUGACAAUAUCCACGACUCCAACGAUAUUCAAGACCAUAAUAUACAUUAUUUUUUGUCAGAUAUAACAUAGCACAAAUACAAGUAAAGAAAACUGAUGAAGAAUGAAUG